GAAAAAAUACCUUUUUUUGAAAUUUCCGGCCACCGUGUACGGUGGCCGGCGCGACGCCGGUGUGACGCCGGUGCGGGGGGGCCUUGGCCGGAAUCUGGACUUAGUCCAGAGAGUUUUUUUUUCUUUCUUCUGUUUUUUUUUCUUUUCAAUGUUCAAAUGAUUUUUUUUCUCAAAACACUAAUUUUUAUACCCUGGUGAAACGGCGCCGUUUUGGCUCAGCUCCAAAACACCCAAAACGACGUCGUUUCACUCCCAGUCCUGCGCAGUGACCCGACCCAGGGGGAGGAUCCGCGUGUUUUCUU
rnacentral:lncRNA from 1 species